rnacentral:tRNA from 1 species
GGCCCUUUAGCUCAGUGGUUAGAGCAGACGACUCAUAAUCGCUUGGUCGUUGGUUCAAACCCAACAGGGGCAACCA